rnacentral:lncRNA from 1 species
UGAUAUUCUUGCUUGCAAUAUCCUCUUUCAAUAAAGGAAGUGAAAAUACACAUAUUAUAAUAUUAUAUUUUUGAACUUUUUAUAAGAAUUUAAAAUAAAAAUUACGCUGAACAAAAGAUAACUUAAUUAUUUUCUAGAUUUUAAAAUAAAAACAUUAUAAUGUGCAAAAGUAAUAGUACACUUAUUUUUAUACUUAGUCUGAAAAGUGACUUAAUUCUCCCUAUAAUUACAAAAUUUAUCAAUACACCUUCUAUAAUAGUAGAUCACCUUUGGACAAUCAAGGGUCGAAACACAUGGUAUAUUACCUACAUAUUGUAAAAUAAGCAAAACGAUAGUUAUUAAAGGUGAUAAUAUAUUGAAUAUGAAUUAGUAGAAUUUAAAAAAAAAAAAAUUAAUUGAAAUACACUGUCAGCGUAAAAGGAUUUUACACCAUCAGUUAAUUAUAGAUGUUGGAUAUUAAAAAAAGUUUGAUUUUUAUUUUAAAAUUUUAUAAAGUAAUACAAAUGGGUGAUGGUGAUGAAUCGACGGUGUAGAACUUUUUACAUUGAUAAUGUAUAAUAAUUAAUCUCUUAAAAAAAAUUAUAUUAAAAAUGACAUACUUUUAAGGAAAGCAUUUCCAAAAAAGAUGAUCAAAGAAUAAAUAAACAUGCUACGAAUAAAAGCCAUAUUUUCCUUUAUUUGCAUGCAAUGAACAUUAUAUUUUUUUAUCCUAU